rnacentral:rRNA from 1 species
ACACAUGCAAGUCGAACGAUGAAGCCCAGCUUGCUGGGUGGAUUAGUGGCGAACGGGUGAGUAACACGUGAGUAACCUGCCCCUGACUUCGGGAUAACCACGAGAAAUCGUGGCUAAUACCGGAUAUGACACGUGCCCGCAUGGGUGUGUGUGGAAAGAUUUAUCGGUUGGGGAUGGGCUCGCGGCCUAUCAGCUUGUUGGUGGGGUGAUGGCCUACCAAGGCGACGACGGGUAGCCGGCCUGAGAGGGUGACCGGCCACACUGGGACUGAGACACGGCCCAGACUCCUACGGGAGGCAGCAGUGGGGAAUAUUGCACAAUGGGCGCAAGCCUGAUGCAGCGACGCCGCGUGAGGGAUGACGGCCUUCGGGUUGUAAACCUCUUUCAGUAGGGAAGAAGCCUUCGGGUGACGGUACCUGCAGAAGAAGCGCCGGCUAACUACGUGCCAGCAGCCGCGGUAAUACGUAGGGCGCAAGCGUUGUCCGGAAUUAUUGGGCGUAAAGAGCUCGUAGGCGGUUUGUCGCGUCUGCUGUGAAAACGCAAGGCUUAACCUUGCGCCUGCAGUGGGUACGGGCAGACUAGAGUGCGGUAGGGGAGACUGGAAUUCCUGGUGUAGCGGUGGAAUGCGCAGAUAUCAGGAGGAACACCGAUGGCGAAGGCAGGUCUCUGGGCCGUUACUGACGCUGAGGAGCGAAAGCAUGGGGAGCGAACAGGAUUAGAUACCCUGGUAGUCCAUGCCGUAAACGUUGGGCACUAGGUGUGGGAUCCAUUCCACGGGUUCCGUGCCGCAGCUAACGCAUUAAGUGCCCCGCCUGGGGAGUACGGCCGCAAGGCUAAAACUCAAAGGAAUUGACGGGGGCCCGCACAAGCGGCGGAGCAUGCGGAUUAAUUCGAUGCAACGCGAAGAACCUUACCAAGGCUUGACAUACACCGGAAAAGUGCAGAGAUGUGCUCCCCGUAAGGUCGGUGUACAGGUGGUGCAUGGUUGUCGUCAGCUCGUGUCGUGAGAUGUUGGGUUAAGUCCCGCAACGAGCGCAACCCUUGUCCUGUGUUGCCAGCGGGUUAUGCCGGGGACUCAUGGGAGACUGCCGGGGUCAACUCGGAGGAAGGUGGGGAUGACGUCAAAUCAUCAUGCCCCUUAUGUCUUGGGCUUCACGCAUGCUACAAUGGCCGGUACAAAGGGCUGCGAUACCGCGAGGUGGAGCGAAUCCCAAAAAGCCGGUCUCAGUUCGGAUUGGGGUCUGCAACUCGACCCCAUGAAGUCGGAGUCGCUAGUAAUCGCAGAUCAGCAACGCUGCGGUGAAUACGUUCUCGGGCCUUGUACACACCGCCCGUCACGUCAUGAAAGUCGGUAACACCCGAAGCCGGUGGCCCAACCCCUUGUGGGAGGGAGCUGUCGU